rnacentral:rRNA from 1 species
CCUACGGGAGGCAGCAGUGGGGAAUAUUGCACAAUGGGGGAAACCCUGAUGCAGCGACGCCGCGUGAGUGAAGAAGUAUCUCGGUAUGUAAAGCUCUAUCAGCAGGGAAGAAGCAAGACGGUACCUGACUAAGAAGCCCCGGCUAACUACGUGCCAGCACCCGCGGUAAUUCGUAGGGGGCAAGCGUUAUCCGGAUUUACUGGGUGUAAAGGGCGCGUAGACGGUAUGGCAAGUCUGAAGUGAAAACCCAGGGCUUAACCCUGGGACUGCUUUGGAAACUGUUAGACUAGAGUGCUGGAGAGGUAAGUGGAAUUCCUAGUGUAGCGGUGAAAUGCGUAGAUAUUAGGAGGAACACCAGUGGCGAAGGCGGCUUACUGGACAGUAACUGACGUUGAGGCUCGAAAGCGUGGGGAGCGAACAGGAUUAGAUACCCGAGUAGUC